rnacentral:rRNA from 1 species
GACGAACGCUGGCGGCGUGCUUAACACAUGCAAGUCGAACGGAAAGGCCCUGCUUUUGUGGGGUGCUCGAGUGGCGAACGGGUGAGUAACACGUGAGUAACCUGCCCUUGACUUUGGGAUAACUUCAGGAAACUGGGGCUAAUACCGGAUAGGAGCUCCUGCUGCAUGGUGGGGGUUGGAAAGUUUCGGCGGUUGGGGAUGGACUCGCGGCUUAUCAGCUUGUUGGUGGGGUAGUGGCUUACCAAGGCUUUGACGGGUAGCCGGCCGGAGAGGGUGACCGGCAUAAUGGGGAAGGAGGGAGGCCCAAGAGUCGAAGGGGGGGAAGAGGGGGGAAGAUUGAAAAAGGGGGAGGGAGUGGGAGGAGGAGGCCGGGGGGGGGGAAAGACGGUUGGGGGGUAAAAAAAAGCUGGCGCUGGUGAAAAAGUGGGAGUGACGGUAGGGGAAAAAGAAGAACCGGCAAACUCCGUG